rnacentral:rRNA from 1 species
ACUCCUACGGGAGGCAGCAGCGAGGAAUCUUGGGCAAUGGGCGAAAGCCUGACCCAGCGACGCCGCGUGGAGGACGAAGGCCUUCGGGUUGUAAACUCCUUUUGCCGGGGAAGAUAAUGACGGUACCCGGCGAAUAAGCCACGGCUAACUACGUGCCAGCAGCCGCGGUAAU